rnacentral:rRNA from 1 species
GAGUUUGAUCAUGGCUCAGAUUGAACGCUGGCGGCAGGCCUAACACAUGCAAGUCGAACGGUAACAGGAAGAAGCUUGCUUCUUUGCUGACGAGUGGCGGACGGGUGAGUAAUGUCUGGGAAACUGCCUGAUGGAGGGGGAUAACUACUGGAAACGGUAGCUAAUACCGCAUAACGUCGCAAGACCAAAGAGGGGGACCUUCGGGCCUCUUGCCAUCGGAUGUGCCCAGAUGGGAUUAGCUAGUAGGUGGGGUAACGGCUCACCUAGGCGACGAUCCCUAGCUGGUCUGAGAGGAUGACCAGCCACACUGGAACUGAGACACGGUCCAGACUCCUACGGGAGGCAGCAGUGGGGAAUAUUGCACAAUGGGCGCAAGCCUGAUGCAGCCAUGCCGCGUGUAUGAAGAAGGCCUUCGGGUUGUAAAGUACUUUCAGCGGGGAGGAAGGGAGUAAAGUUAAUACCUUUGCUCAUUGACGUUACCCGCAGAAGAAGCACCGGCUAACUCCGUGCCAGCAGCCGCGGUAAUACGGAGGGUGCAAGCGUUAAUCGGAAUUACUGGGCGUAAAGCGCACGCAGGCGGUUUGUUAAGUCAGAUGUGAAAUCCCCGGGCUCAACCUGGGAACUGCAUCUGAUACUGGCAAGCUUGAGUCUCGUAGAGGGGGGUAGAAUUCCAGGUGUAGCGGUGAAAUGCGUAGAGAUCUGGAGGAAUACCGGUGGCGAAGGCGGCCCCCUGGACGAAGACUGACGCUCAGGUGCGAAAGCGUGGGGGAGCAAACAGGAUUAGAUACCCUGGUAGUCCACGCCGUAAACGAUGUCGACUUGGAGGUUGUGCCCUUGAGGCGUGGCUUCCGGAGCUAACGCGUUAAGUCGACCGCCUGGGGAGUACGGCCGCAAGGUUAAACUCAAAUGAAUUGACGGGGCCCGCACAAGCGGUGGAGCAUGUGGUUUAAUUCGAUGCAACGCGAAGAACCUUACCUGGUCUUGACAUCCACAGAACUUUCCAGAGAUGGAUUGGUGCCUUCGGGAACUGUGAGACAGGUGCUGCAUGGCUGUCGUCAGCUCGUGUUGUGAAAUGUUGGGUUAAGUCCCGCAACGAGCGCAACCCUUAUCCUUUGUUGCCAGCGGUCCGGCCGGGAACUCAAAGGAGACUGCCAGUGAUAAACUGGAGGAAGGUGGGGAUGACGUCAAGUCAUCAUGGCCCUUACGACCAGGGCUACACACGUGCUACAAUGGCGCAUACAAAGAGAAGCGACCUCGCGAGAGCAAGCGGACCUCAUAAAGUGCGUCGUAGUCCGGAUUGGAGUCUGCAACUCGACUCCAUGAAGUCGGAAUCGCUAGUAAUCGUGGAUCAGUAUGCCACGGUGAAUACGUUCCCGGGCCUUGUACACACCGCCCGUCACACCAUGGGAGUGGGUUGCAAAAGAGUAGGUAGCUUAACCUUCGGGAGGGCGCUUACCACUUUGUGAUUCAUGACUGGGGUGAAGUCGUAACAAGGUAACCGUAGGGGAACCUGCGGUUGGAUCACC